rnacentral:rRNA from 1 species
AUGAACGCUGGCGGCGUGCCUCAUACCUGCAAGUCGAGCGAACGGACGAGAAGCUUGCUUCUCUGAUGUUAGCGGCGGACGGGUGAGUAACACGUGGAUAACCUACCUAUAAGACUGGGAUAACUUCGGGAAACCGUAGCUAAUACCGGAUAAUAUUUUGAACCGCAUGGUUCAAAAGUGAAAGACGGUCUUGCUGUCACUUAUAGAUGGAUCCGCGCUGCAUUAGCUAGUUGGUAAGGUAACGGCUUACCAAGGCAACGAUGCAUAGCCGACCUGAGAGGGUGAUCGGCCACACUGGAACUGAGACACGGUCCAGACUCCUACGGGAGGCAGCAGUAGGGAAUCUUCCGCAAUGGGCGAAAGCCUGACGGAGCAACGCCGCGUGAGUGAUGAAGGUCUUCGGAUCGUAAAACUCUGUUAUUAGGGAAGAACAUAUGUGUAAGUAACUGUGCACAUCUUGACGGUACCUAAUCAGAAAGCCACGGCUAACUACGUG